rnacentral:rRNA from 1 species
CAGGAAUGCAAGUCGAACGAUGAUCCGGUGCUUGCACCGGGGAUUAGUGGCGAACGGGUGAGUAACACGUGAGUAACCUGCCCUUAACUCUGGGAUAAGCCUGGGAAACUGGGUCUAAUACCGGAUAUGACUCCUCAUCGCAUGGUGGGGGGUGGAAAGCUUUAUUGUGGUUUUGGAUGGACUCGCGGCCUAUCAGCUUGUUGGUGAGGUAAUGGCUCACCAAGGCGACGACGGGUAGCCGGCCUGAGAGGGUGACCGGCCACACUGGGACUGAGACACGGCCCAGACUCCUACGGGAGGCAGCAGUGGGGAAUAUUGCACAAUGGGCGCAAGCCUGAUGCAGCGACGCCGCGUGAGGGAUGACGGCCUUCGGGUUGUAAACCUCUUUCAGUAGGGAAGAAGCGAAAGUGACGGUACCUGCAGAAGAAGCGCCGGCUAACUACGUGCCAGCAGCCGCGGUAAUACGUAGGGCGCAAGCGUUAUCCGGAAUUAUUGGGCGUAAAGAGCUCGUAGGCGGUUUGUCGCGUCUGCCGUGAAAGUCCGGGGCUCAACUCCGGAUCUGCGGUGGGUACGGGCAGACUAGAGUGAUGUAGGGGAGACUGGAAUUCCUGGUGUAGCGGUGAAAUGCGCAGAUAUCAGGAGGAACACCGAUGGCGAAGGCAGGUCUCUGGGCAUUAACUGACGCUGAGGAGCGAAAGCAUGGGGAGCGAACAGGAUUAGAUACCCUGGUAGUCCAUGCCGUAAACGUUGGGCACUAAGGG